AAAGAAAGUAAGCAAGGGCGCAUGGCGGAUGCCUUGGCUCUCGGAGGCGAUGAAGGACGUGAUAAGCUGCGAUAAGCUUCGGGUAGGUGCAAAUAACCUUUGAUCCGAAGAUUUCCGAAUGGGACAACCCGGCAUUCUGAAGGAAUGUCAUCCAUCCUGGAUGGAAGCUAACGCAGGGAACUGAAACAUCUUAGUACCUGCAGGAAAAGAAAAUAAUAAUGAUUCCCCUAGUAGUGGCGAGCGAACGGGGAUUAGCCCAAACCAAUGAUGUUACGGCAAGAUUGGGGUUGUAGGACCACGAUGUCGCAAGAACUUUAGUGAGAAGAAUUCUUUGGAAAAUGAAACCAUAGACGGUGAUAGUCCGGUAUUCGAAGCUAAACGAAGCGUAGUGGUAUCCUGAGUAGCGCGGGACACGAGGAAUCUUGCGUGAAUCUGCCGGGACCAUCCCGUAAGGCUAAAUACUCCCGAGAGACCGAUAGCGAACCAGUACUGUGAAGGAAAGGUGAAAAGCACCUCGAACAGAGGAGUGAAAUAGUCCCUGAAACCGUCUGCCUACAAGCGGUCGGAGCAACGUAAGUUGUGACGGCGUGCCUUUUGCAUAAUGAACCUACGAGUUACUUUUUCCGGCAAGGUUAAGCAUUUCAAAAUGUGUAGCCGAAGCGAAAGCGAGUCUGAACAGGGCGAUUAGUCGGAAGGAGUAGACGCGAAACCAAGUGAUCUACCCUUGGUCAGGUUGAAGGUUGGGUAACACUAACUGGAGGACCGAACCGACUACCGUUGAAAAGUUAGCGGAUGACCUGUGGAUCGGAGUGAAAGGCUAAUCAAGCUCGGAGAUAGCUGGUUCUCCUCGAAAGCUAUUUAGGUAGCGCCUCGUGUAUCACUGCUGGGGG
rnacentral:rRNA from 1 species